GAAAUGCGAUACGUAAUGCGAAUUGCAGAAUUCAGUGAAUCAUCAAAUCUUUGAACGCAAAUUGCGCUUUCUGGAUAGGCCAGGGAGCAUGCCUCUUUGAGCAUCGUUUCUAACCCAUCUCGGCAGCUUUGCUGCUGGAUAAUGAGAUGUCUCAUUUGAAAAAAUGAGUCUCUUUAAGAAGCGUGAGUGUUCCUAAACUCCUAGUGUCCGAUCAUGAUGAUUCUAUCACUAGUGACAUGGAUAAACUUUUUAUUUUAUGUCAUUGGAGGUGGAGUGUGUAGUGAUCAUUAAGGCAUAUGGUAACUUGGUUUACUCGUAUAGAAAAAACAAAUUUUUUUUUGAAUUUGAUCUCAAAUGAAGCAAGAUUACCCGCUGAACUUAA
rnacentral:misc_RNA from 1 species